rnacentral:rRNA from 1 species
UACAGAGGUCCCAAGCGUUGUUCGGAUUCAUUGGGCGUAAAGGGUGCGUAGGCGGCGCGGUAAGUCGGGUGUGAAAUCUCGGAGCUUAACUCCGAAACUGCAUUCGAUACUGCCGUGCUUGAGGACUGGAGAGGAGACUGGAAUUUACGGUGUAGCGGUGAAAUGCGUAGAUAUCGUAAGGAAGACCAGUGGCGAAGGCGACUACCUGGCCUGUUCUUGACGCUGAGGCGCGAAAGCUGGGGGAGCAAACGGG